rnacentral:rRNA from 1 species
GAUGAACGCUGACAGUAUGCUUAACACAUGCAAGUCGACCUGCAUCAGGGUAAUUACUUUCGGUUAGGGUGGCGGACGGGUGAGUAACGCGUAAAGAACUUGCCAUACAGCUAGUGACAACAUUUGGAAACGAAUGAUAAUACCUAAUAUUAUGAUAAUACGGCAUGCUAAAAUUAUGAAAGCUAUAACCGCUGUGAGAGAGCUUUGCGUCCCAUUAGCUAGUUGGAGAGGUAACGGCUCACCAAGGCGAUGAUGGGUAGCCGGCCUGGAAGGGAGAUCGGGUACAAGGUCACUGGGGCGCCGGCCGUACUGAUUCUUGGAGCAUCAGUGGAGACUUUUGGACAACAUACCGAGAGGCUGAUCCAGCAAUUCUGUUUGCACGAUGAAUUUGUUCGGAAUGAAAAGUACUAUCAGUUGGGAACGAUCUUAUGACGGUACCAACAGAAGAAGUGACGGCUAACUACGUG